rnacentral:rRNA from 1 species
AAACGUAGGUGGCGAACGUUAUCCGGAUUUACUGGGCGUAAAGCGCUCGCAGGCGGCUUCGUAAGUCUGACGUGCAAGCUCCCGGCUUAACUGGGAGAGGCCGUUGGAUACUGCGGAGCUUGAGGGCAGGAGAGGAGAGUGGAAUUCCCGGUGUAGCGGUGGAAUGCGUAGAUAUCGGGAGGAACUCCAGUGGCGAAGGCGACUCUCUGGCCUGACCCUGACGCUCAGGAGCGAAAGCGUGGGGAGCGAACAGGAUUAGAAACCCUAGUAGUCC